GAAAUGCGAUAACUAAUGUGAAUUGCAGAAUUCAGUGAAUCAUCGAGUCUUUGAACGCACAUUGCGCCCCCUGGUAUUCCGGGGGGCAUGCCUGUCCGAGCGUCAUUGCUGCCCUCAAGCCCGGCUUGUGUGUUGGGCCCUCGUCCCCCGGCUCCCGGGGGACGGGUCCGAAAGGCAGCGGCGGCACCGCGUCCGGUCCUCGAGCGUAUGGGGCUUCGUCUUCCGCUCCGUAGGCCCGGCCGGCGCCCGCCGACGCAUUUAUUUGCAACUUGUUUUUUUCCAGGUUGACCUCGGAUCAGGUAGGGAUACCCGCUGAACUUAAGCA
rnacentral:misc_RNA from 1 species